rnacentral:rRNA from 1 species
GCAGUCUGCAACUCGAGUGCAUGAAGCUGGAAUCGCUAGUAAUCGCGAAUCAGAAUGUCGCGGUGAAUACGUUCCCGGGUCUUGUACACACCGCCCGUCACACCAUGGGAGCCGACAACGCCCGAAGUCAGUGACCUAACCGAGAGGGAGGAGCUGCCGAAGGCGGGGUUGGUAACUGGGGUGAAGUCGUAACAAGGUAGC